UGGACAUGAGCCCCAAGGUACCCUGGGCUGAGCCCCAGCGCGGGCAGCGGCUCCGGGGGGAUUCUGCCCCUGGGCCCCGCUCAGGGAGGCGGGGCUGACACAGCGCUUGGAAACCGGCGGCGGCGGAACGGGAGCGGCGGGAGCGGCACGGCACGGAACGGGAGGGACCGCCUUCAGCACCGCCUUCAGCACCGCCUUCAGCACCGCCUUCAGCGCAGCGCCUCUCAGCUCCACGCAGCACUUCUCAGCGCCUGUCCUUUUCUUUCCUCUCCCCUCUGCUCCUCUCGGCUCCAAGCUGAGCAUCGCCUCUCCUGUCCUGUCUUGUCCUGUCCUGUCCUGUCCUGUCCUGUCCUGUCCUCUCCUCUCCUCUCCUCUCCUCUCCUCUCCUCUCCUCUCCUCUCCUCUCCUCUCCUCUCCUCUCCUCUCCCAACCACGGGUGCGGAGGCCCCACCAGGAAACUCCGCUCCACUACGCCCACCCUCAGCAAGCACCAAGGUGAGCAGGAUCAGAGAUGAGCCAGCACCCCCCGCCACCCAAGGGAGGGCAGGAACGGAGAUGACCUGAUCCCCUAAAUCCCCACAGAAGACAUCGGUUUGGGUCGAAGAGCAACAAGGGUGCGGAGGCCCCACCAGGAAACUCCGCUCCACAACGUACAUCCUCAUGCCAAGCCCCAAGGUGAUCAGGAUCAGAGAUGAGGCGCCUCCGGCACGGAACGAUGCAGGAGGGACCGCCUUCAGCACCGCCUUCAGCACCACCUUAAGCGCAGCGCCUCUCAGCUCCACGCAGCACUUCUCAGCACCUGUCCUUUCCUUUCCUCUUCCCUCUGCUCCUCUCGUCUCCAAGCUGAGCAUCGCCUCUCCUGUCCUGUCCUGUCCUGUCCUGUCCUGUCCUGUCCUGUCCUCUCCUCUCCUCUCCUCUCCUCUCCUCUCCUCUCCUCUCCCAACCACGGGUGCGGAGGCCCCACCAGGAAACUCCGCUCCACUACGCCCACCCUCAGCAAGCACCAAGAGAAGCUGCAUCCGAGGCUGGACAUGAGCCCCAAGGUGCCCUGGGCUGAGCCCCAGCGCGGGCAGCGGCUCCGGGGGGAUUCUGCCCCUGGGCCCCGCUCAGGGAGGCGGGGCUGACACAGCGCUUGGAAACCGGCGGCGGCGGAACGGGAGCGGCGGGAGCGGCACGGCACGGAACGGGAGGGACCGCCUUCAGCACUGCCUUCAGCACCGCCUUCAGCGCAGCGCCUCUCAGCUCCACGCAGCACUUCUCAGCGCCUGUCCUUUCCUUUCCUCUCCCCUCUGCUCCUCUCGGCUCCAAGCUGAGCAUCGCCUGUCCUGUCCUGUCCUGUCCUGUCCUGUCCUGUCCUGUCCUCUCCUCUCCUCUCCUCUCCUCUCCUCUCCUCUCCUCUCCUCUCCUCUCCUCUCCUCUCCCAACCACGGGUGCGGAGGCCCCACCAGGAAACUCCGCUCCACUACGCCCACCCUCAGCAAGCACCAAGAAGACAUCGGUUUGGGUCGAAGAGCAACAAGGGUGCGGAGGCCCCACCAGGAAACUCCGCUCCACAACGUCCACACUCACCAAGCACCAAGCACGAUCAGAGAUGAGGCAGCGCCUCCCGCCGCCCCAGUGAGGGCAGGAUGGCAGAGAUGAGCUGCUCCCCCUCAUCCCACUGAAGACUUCGAUCCGGGUCGAAGAGCAACAACAAGGGUGCGGAGGCCCCACCAGGAAACUCCGCUCCACAACGUACAUCCUCAUGCCAAGCACCAAGGUGAUCAGGAUCAGAGAUGAGGCGCCUCCGGCGCAGAACGAUACAGGAGGGACCGCCUUCAGCACCGCCUUCAGCACUGCCUUCAGCACCGCCUUCAGCGCAGCGCCUCUCAGCUCCACGCAGCACUUCUCAGCACCUGUCCUUUCCUUUCCUCUUCCCUCUGCUCCUCUCGUCUCCAAGCUGAGCAUCGCCUCUCCUGUCCUGUCUUGUCCUGUCCUGUCCUGUCCUGUCCUCUCCUCUCCUCUCCUCUCCCAACCACGGGUGCGGAGGCCCCACCAGGAAACUCCGCUCCACUACGCCCACCCUCAGCAAGCACCAAGGUGAGCACGAUCAGAGAUGAGCCAGCACCCCCCGCCACCCAAGUGAGGGCAGGAACGGAGAUGACCUGAUCCCCUAAAUCCCCACAGAAGACAUCGAUUUGGGUCGAGGAGCAACAAGGGUGCGGAGGCCCCACCAAGAAACUCCGCUCCACAACGUCCACACUCACCAAGCACCAAGCACGAUCAGAGAUGAGGCAGCGCCUCCCGCCGCCCCAGUGAGGGCAGGAUGGCAGAGAUGAGCUGCUCCCCCUCAUUCCCACUGAAGACUUCGAUCCGGGUCGAAGAGCAACAACAAGGGUGCGGAGGCCCCACCAGGAAACUCCGCUCCACAACGUACAUCCUCAUGCCAAGCACCAAGGUGAUCAGGAUCAGAGAUGAGGCGCCUCCGGCAUAGAACGAUACAGGAGGGACCGCCUUCAGCACCGCCUUCAGCACCGCCUUCAGCGCAGCGCCUCUCAGCUCCACACAGCACUUCUCAGCACCUGUCCUUUCCUUUCCUCUUCCCUCUGAUACUCUCGUCUCCAAGCUGAGCAUCGCCUCUCCUGUCCUGUCCUGUCCUGUCCUGUCCUGUCCUGUCCUGUCCUGUCCUGUCCUCUCCUCUCCUCUCCUCUCCUCUCCUCUCCUCUCCUCUCCUUUCCUCUCCCAGCCACGGGUGCGGAGGCCCCACCAGGAAACUCCGCUCCACCACGCCCACGCUCUGCAAGCACCAAGGUGAGCAGGAUCAGAGAUGAGCCAGCACCCCCCGCCACCCAAGUGAGGGCAGGAACGGAGAUGACCUGAUCCCCUAAAUCCCCACAGAAGACAUCGGUUUGGGUCAAAGAGCAACAAGGGUGCGGAGGCCCCACCAGGAAACUCCGCUCCACAACGUACAUCCUCAUGCCAAGCACCAAGGUGAUCAGGAUCAGAGAUGAGGCGCCUCCGGCACGGAACGAUGCAGGAGGGACCGCCUUCAGCACCGCCUUCAGCACUGGCUUCAGCGCAGCGCCUCUCAGCUCCACACAGCACUUCUCAGCACCUCUCCUUUCCUUUCCUCUUCCCUCUGCUCCUCUCGUCUCCAAGCUGAGCAUCGCCUCUCCUGUCCUGUCCUGUCCUGUCCUGUCCUGUCCUGUCCUCUCCUCUCCUCUCCUCUCCUCUCCUCUCCUCUCCUCUCCUCUCCCAACCACGGGUGCGGAGGCCCCACCAGGAAACUCCGCUCCACUACGCCCACCCUCAGCAAGCACCAAGAGAAGCUGGAUCCGAGGCUGGACAUGAGCCCCAAGGUACCCUGGGCUGAGCCCCAGCGUGGGCAGCGGCUGCGGGGGGAUUCUGCCCCUGGGCCCCGCUCAGGUGAGAGCCCAGCUGCAGGAUGGGAGCUGCUGGGGCGAGCCCAGAGCAACUGCAGCCCCUCUGGAGCCGGGCUGGGAGAGCUGGGAAUGUUCCCCUGGUGAAGGGAAGGAUCCAGGAGAGCUGCAGUGGGGCUGGGGACACCUGGAGCUGCUCCCAAAAUCCCGGGGUGACCCCGGCCCCGCCCCCCGGGCCCGAGCCCCGCCCCUUUGAGCCCGCUCCGGCUCCCGGCCAAUCAGAUCGCUGGGUGGCGCUGUGGUCCCGCGCCCUCUGUUGGGUCACAGAGUGGAACGCCGCUGGCUCCGCCCCUCGCGCUGAUCCUCGGCGCCCAUUGGCUGUCGCCAAGGGAGGCGGGGCUGACACAGCGCUUGGAAACCGGCGGCGGCGGAACGGGAGCGGCGGGAGCGGCACGGCACGGAACGGGAGGGACCGCCUUCAGCACCGCCUUCAGCACCGCCUUCAGCGCAGCGCCUCUCAGCUCCACGCAGCACUUCUCAGCGCCUGUCCUUUCCUUUCCUCUCCCCUCUGCUCCUCUCGGCUCCAAUCUGAGCAUCGCCUCUCCUGUCCUGUCCUGUCCUGUCCUGUCCUGUCCUGUCCUGUCCUGUCCUGUCCUCUCCUCUCCUCUCCUCUCCUCUCCUCUCCUCUCCUCUCCUCUCCUCUCCUCUCCCAACCACGGGUGCGGAGGCCCCACCAGGAAACUCCGCUCCACUACGCCCACCCUCAGCAAGCACCAAGGUGAGCAGGAUCAGAGAUGAGCCAGCACCCCCCGCCACCCAAGGGAGGGCAGGAACGGAGAUGACCUGAUCCCCUAAAUCCCCACAGAAGACAUCGGUUUGGGUCGAAAGAGCAACAAGGGUGCGGAGGCCCCACCAGGAAACUCCGCUCCACAACGUCCACACUCACCAAGCACCAAGCACGAUCAGAGAUGAGGCAGCGCCUCCCGCCGCCCCAGUGAGGGCAGGAUGGCAGAGAUGAGCUGCUCCCCCUCAUUCCCACUGAAGACUUCGAUCCGGGUCGAAGAGCAACAACAAGGGUGCGGAGGCCCCAUCAGGAAACUCCGCUCCACAACGUACAUCCUCAUGCCAAGCACCAAGGUGAUCAGGAUCAGAGAUGAGGCGCCUCCGGCGCAGAACGAUGCAGGAGGGACCGCCUUCAGCACCGCCUUCAGCACCGGCUUCAGCGCAGCGCCUCUCAGCUCCACGCAGCACUUCUCAGCACCUGUCCUUUCCUUUCCUCUUCCCUCUGCUCCUCUCGUCUCCAAGCUGAGCAUCGCCUCUCCUGUCCUGUCCUGUCCUGUCCUGUCCUGUCCUGUCCUGUCCUGUCCUGUCCUCUCCUCUCCUCUUCUCUCCUCUCCUCUCCUCUCCCAACCACGGGUGCGGAGGCCCCACCAGGAAACUCCGCUCCACUACGCCCACCCUCAGCAAGCACCAAGGUGAGCAGGAUCAGAGAUGAGCCAGCACCCCCCGCCACCCAAGUGAGGGCAGGACCAGAGAUGACCUGAUCCCCUAAAAUCCCACAGAAGACAUCGAUUUGGGUCGAAGAGCAUCAAGGGUGGGGAGGCCCCACCAGGAAACUCCGCUCCACAACGUCCACACUCACCAAGCACGAUCAGAGAUGAGGCAGCGCCUCCCGCCGCCCCAGUGAGGGCAGGAUGGCAGAGAUGAGCUGCUCCCCCUCAUUCCCACUGAAGACUUCGAUCCGGGUCGAAGAGCAACAACAAGGGUGCGGAGGCCCCACCAGGAAACUCCGCUCCACUACGCCCACCCUCAGCAAGCACCAAGGUGAGCAGGAUCAGAGAUGAGCCAGCACCCCCCGCCACCCAAGGGAGGGCAGGAACGGAGAUGACCUGAUCCCCUAAAUCCCCACAGAAGACAUCAGUUUGGGUCGAAGAGCAACAAGGGUGCGGAGGCCCCACCAGGAAACUCCGCUCCACAAAGAUCUCCACCAGCCCAGCAGCCAGGUGAGAAGGAACGGAAAUGAUCGGAACCCCCGUGGAAGGAAGGGCGCCGGAUGUGACCUGCUCCCCUAAAUCCCCACAGAAGACAUCGAUCCAAGUGGAAGAGGAACAACCACGGGUGCGGAGGCCCCACCAGGAAACUCCGCUCCACCACGCCCAUGCUCUGCAAGCACCAAGAAAAGCUGGAUCCGAGCCGAAGAGCACUAACGAGGGGUGCAGAGGCCCCAGCAGGAACUCGGCUCCACAACGACCUCGUCCAGCCCCUCCCCGAGGGGAGCAGGAACAGAAACGCCCCAGCCCCAUGCACGGCGGAGGAGCAGGAGGACAGCCAUGAGCUGAGCCCCACAGCGGCGCGUGGAGAUGAACCUGGCCCCCUCAGUCAGCCCAGGAGCACGGAGAGCAGCCGGUGCCUCUGUCCCUCUCACGCCAGGGCAUUGGCAGGUUAAGGGCAGAGGACGGAGAGGAAGAGUGAUCAGAGGGACACUGACCCUCCCUGGGCCUCCUCAGCGUGAAACGUGGCAUUGGGUUUAGGGCUGCGCCUUUAGGAAGGGUCUGGAAUUGGGGCUGCAUUUGAGGUCAGGGUUAACCCUCUGCCAGCCCCACUGCUGGGGGGCCCAGGCCCAUGGGGAGGGUUCUGUGUGUGGGGAAGAGGGAUCCUCUGGAAUUUUGGGUCUCUCCCAGUGCUGUGGGGCGCUGAGCUCAGGCAGUUUGAUACCCAGCCACUGGUUACUUCCUUUUCCUACUUGAUUCCUUCCAGUGUUUGUU